GAAAUUAUGACAUCAGGAAGAGCAUGCCUCUUUCCUACCUGCAGGCACAUGGCUGCCGGUAAUCAGAGUUUAGACAAAUGAUACGUUUUAGUGUGCAGGUCUAAAACUAGACUGCAAACAGAAUAAACUUCCAGUGGUAUUUUAAAAACACUAUUGCCAUGUCCUCAGUCUCAGUGCAGUUACACUGGUGUAGAGGGGCUUCAUAGCUGCAUACCCUUCUCCCUGUGGAGAGACUAUAACUGCAGUUUCUGCAACCGCAUCCCAUCAACUCAGCCGUGCUUUCUCAAACAGAGAUGGUAUCUCUGUUUAUCACUAUCAAGCAGAUUUUCCUAUUCAUCUUUUUUAGAAUACGGAAGAAGCCAUGCAGUCUUCUGAAGAAUACAUCCUUCAAUCUAUCCUUUUCAGGUAAAUCCACGUGCACCUGCACCAUACUUGCCUUCAUUAGCAGUGAAUUCAGAAGGAAGGAAGAGAGAAGAGAAAGAUCUUGGCAAACCAAGUUGCAAAAUGUUAAAUCCAACUGCAUGUCAACGUGGUGAAACCCUGGAAUCCUUUCACAGGGACACUGGCAUAUCUUUCCCUACUGCCUUAAUAAACAGAUAAAGAUCUCA